rnacentral:rRNA from 1 species
UACGGAGGGUGCAAGCGUUAUCCGGAUUCACUGGGUUUAAAGGGUGCGUAGGCGGGUUGGUAAGUCCGUGGUGAAAUCCCCAAGCUUAACUUGGGGAACUGCCGUGGAUACUAUCAAUCUUGAAUAUCGUGGAGGUAAGCGGAAUAUGUCAUGUAGCGGUGAAAUGCUUAGAUAUGACAUAGAACACCAAUUGCGUAGGCAGCUUACUACACGAUCAUUGACGCUGAGGCACGAAAGCGUGGGGAGCAAACAGG